rnacentral:pre_miRNA from 1 species
CAGCCUAGUUACCAGGCAGUGUAGUUAGCUGAUUGCCAAAAGUAACAAUCACUAGCCACACAGCCGGGUAAAAAGGUGUG